rnacentral:tRNA from 1 species
AGUUAAUGAACUUGAUACAAGUAUAUAUUUUGAAAAUAUAAAAUAGGAUUUUAACCUAUUAACUU